rnacentral:rRNA from 1 species
AUUGAACGCUGGCGGCAGGCUUAACACAUGCAAGACGAGCGGGGAAAGGUAGCUUGCUACCUGACCUAGCGGCGGACGGGUGAGUAAUGCUUAGGAAUCUGCCUAUUAGUGGGGGACAACAUCUCGAAAGGGAUGCUAAUACCGCAUACGUCCUACGGGAGAAAGCAGGGGACCUUCGGGCCUUGCGCUAAUAGAUGAGCCUAAGUCGGAUUAGCUAGUUGGUGGGGUAAAGGCCUACCAAGGCGACGAUCUGUAGCGGGUCUGAGAGGAUGAUCCGCCACACUGGGACUGAGACACGGCCCAGACUCCUACGGGAGGCAGCAGUGGGGAAUAUUGGACAAUGGGGGGAACCCUGAUCCAGCCAUGCCGCGUGUGUGAAGAAGGCCUUUUGGUUGUAAAGCACUUUAAGCGAGGAGGAGGCUACCGAGAUUAAUACUCUUGGAUAGUGGACGUUACUCGCAGAAUAAGCACCGGCUAACUCGGUG